UACAGAGGGGGCAAGCGUUGUUCGGAAUUACUGGGCGUAAAGGGCGCGUAGGCGGCCUUCUAAGUCGAACGUGAAAUCCCCGGGCUCAACCCGGGAACUGCGUCCGAUACUGGAAGGCUUGAAUCCGGGAGAGGGAUGCGGAAUUCCAGGUGUAGCGGUGAAAUGCGUAGAUAUCUGGAGGAACACCCGUGGCGAAAGCGGCGCGCUGGACCACUACUGACGCUGAGGAACGAAAGCUAGGGGAGCAAACAGG
rnacentral:rRNA from 1 species